AACCCUGCAGCUGUGCCCAGACCUGCCCACAACCUCCUGAUUUCCAUGUGCCCAGAGCACAGCCCACUGCCCUGAACACUUCUUCAUAGGCUGCUCACACCCUGUGCAGCUGUCAGUCCCAGUCAGCACACAGCAUGGACAUGAGGACCCCUGCUCAGCUCCUGGGACUCCUGUUGCUCUGCCUUCCAGGUGCCAGAUGUGACAUCCAGAUGACCCAGACUCCAUCCUCCCUGUCUGCAUCUCCAGGAGACAGAGUCACCAUCAAUUGCCGGGCCAGUCAGGGCAUUAGCAGUUGGUUAGCCUGGUAUCAGCAGAAACCAGGGAAAGCUCCCAAACUCCUGAUAUACAAAGCAUCUAAUUUAGAAUCAGGUGUUCCAUCCAGGUUCAGUGGCAGUGGAUCUGGGACACAGUUUACUCUCACCAUCAGCAGCCUGCAGCCUGAAGAUUUUGCUACUUAUUACUGUCAACAGUAUGACAGCUAUCCUCCCACAGUGAUACAAGUCAUGUCAAAAACCUCAAAGGAAAGCAGAAGUAAGAGACUUGGCUGCCCCAGCUGCUGCUACUGCAACCUCUACCUGCUGAUGAUGCUUCUAAGAUGA